UCCCCGCUAAGCGCGAGGCAGUUUCGCCUGAGUGAUACAACAGACGAUGGGGGUUGCGCUCGUUGAGGCACUUAAGCCUACAUCUCACGACACGAGCUGACGACAACCAUGCAGCACCUGUACAAGCUGCCUUGCGGCUCAUCCCGGUUUCCCGGUUUUACUACUUGUAUGUCAAACCCUGGUGAGGUUUUUCGUUUCGUCUCGAAUUAAACCACACGUUCCCCUACUUGUGCGGGUCCCCGUCAAUUCCUUUGAGUUUUAGCCUUGCGGCCGUACUCCCCAGGCGGGAUGCUUAAUGCGUUAGCUUGCGACACUACAAUAGCUAAGACUGUAAUAUCUAGCAUCCAUCGUUUACGGCGUGGACUA
rnacentral:misc_RNA from 1 species